CCAAAUUUCUAGGAUCUUAUUUUAGUCAGGAAUAUGCUAUAUUAUUUUGUAGUUGGCAAAUGGGUGUGGCAUUUUGUACCAUCAUCCUACACCAGAUCCUGCAAGUGGAGAGACCAUACACUAAUCUUUUAGUGCUUCUACUUCUGCAUACCAGCUGAUUUCUUUUGAUAAUCUGGACAUGUGUUCAUCUGGUUGUAAAUUAUACAUUGAGAUUGCAUCUCCUAACAGCUGUGUUCCUAUCAACCUAACAUCUUUCAUCACUUUUACUUGAAAAUUUAUUUUAAUCUCCCAUUUUGUAUUUGUAAAGAGAAGAUCGAUUAUGACUCUCUUGUGAGCUCUUCUCCACUCUUAAUCACAGCAAUGAGCUCCUGCUACUCUACAUCUUCACAGGUGUUGGUAUGGUCAGAUAUUUGGAUUUCGGCCAUUCUAAUAGCAGGUGCAGCUGUCGUCAGAAGCAGUCACUGGCUCCUCUGUCUGUGGGAUGCUUGAGAAUCUCAGAUGAUGACCCAGCCUCUGCCUGCGGACUGUUUGGAUUUGGGUCUGUUCUGGGGCCUGCACUGGUGCUUGUGCUGCCUCUGGGUGGUGCUCUGCCAGAAUCUGGGCCCACUGUGUGCUGAAGUCCAGCUGAUUCAGAGCAGAGCUGGAGCAUGGCUGAGGGGAUUUAAAAAGAACUCUGAAGUGAUCUGGGCCAUCUGCAGAGAUGAUAUGCAUAUGCAUUGAACUGAGGGAACAGACCUGCCUUGAAUGCAGUGACAUUAUAUAUUAGUAUGGAGGCCCAGAUGGAACAAAAUGGGGAAGGACAAAGCAUGCCAGCACAUGCAGUCACUCUCCUCGCAGCAUUCAUGAAGUACUCAACCCUGCUGUGCUCAGUGCGCUCUGCCAUGAUUCUCCCUCACCACAAGACCAGAAGCAAUGGAGCCAAAGGAACCCAGCCUGAAACCUCUGAAACUAUGAGGCAAACCCCACAGAGAGCAACUCUGCUCCACCACAUGCUCCCCACCAUGGUGAUUCUGCUUCACCACAAACCCAGAAGCAAUGCAGCCAAGGAGCCCUGGAUGGGAACCUCUCAUAUGACCAACCAAAAUCAACUUCUCCACCUUGGUUCUCCUCUGCAGUGCCCCGCUGUCAAGCC